GACAAAAGGAAAAAAGGAAACGAAGUGGAGAGAGAUCAUCGAUAAAAAAAGGGAAAACGAUUGUAUUCCCCCGGGGGAUCACGCUCCGCGCAUCCUCCGGGUGCGUGGCCGUUGGAUCAGCUCCAUCGCGUGGACGUGCUAGCGUCCGACCCGCGAGACAGGUCAUGGGUGGGGGCCACCACGACCUUAUCGUCUCCAUCUUCUCUUCUUUUCGUUCUCGCACAGGAAUUCCUCUGGCACCUGCUCGUGGCGCACAAUCCCGAUCCCCAAUCCAACUGCCCCAUACGGCCGCCUCUUCGCUCGCAAGGAACAUCGUCGACGAGUCAUCGCCGGAGAGAGUAGGGCCCUCUCGCCGGUUCCCGUCCGCAAACGCCUCCGGGCCACAUCGACCCGCUGGAGCCGCCGCGCCCUCGUCAUCGUCGGCCGUCCCCCAAGGAGAUCCGCCUGCCGUCCCCCACGGUGGUGGCGCAGCGGCCCAUGGCUGGUCGUCGAUGAAGCUCCAUCUGUUGUGCCGCCGUUUCUUCCUCUCGCCGUCGCCGACCUCCCUCUCAUCAACCUCCCCGGUCGGCGCUGUUCCCUGGCCUCCGCACCUUCGUCCUUGAGCUGACCGAAGCAGCUAGAGGAGGUGGGUGCAUCUGCUUUUUCCGCGGCGGCAGGUGUCUAUGGAGGCAGUGAGCGGCGUGAGGGGCGGCAGCGAAAGUCGCGUGGCCUUCUCUUGCUGCGAGGUGUGCGGAUGUGCUGCGAGGAGAGGACGGCUCACGACAACGCUGCUGCGGGCGCCACCGACGUUUGGGCCGGCCGCCACUGCGCGCCGCGACAGCGUCGCCCGCCUAGCUCGCCGCCGCCGGUCGGGCUCACGACGCGGUAGAGCUCCUCAGUGGUGACAGCUGCGCCGUCCAGCCGAGCUCUCUGCGCCUCCUGCUAUGAUUUCUGGAUGACUGCCUUUUGCACUGUCGCGGGGUGAGUCUGGCUUUCCUGGAUGUCCCAACCAUAGUGCUACCAUUGGCCAACAAGGGUGCUACCAACGCUGGACGGGGAAGCUACACAUGGUAUUCCGAGUUGCUACUGUAUGGUGUCCUGAUUUGGGACUUUGCUCCGCCAGCUACAUAGAUAUAUAAUUUUGCUAUUUUUGCUACCUCAAAGUGCUACGAAGCCACGAUGCUACAAUAGUAUAUUUCUUUGCUACAAUUAUUAAAACUGUUUUGCUACUUUUGGUACAAAAUUAAGCUACGAUUUUCCGA